rnacentral:lncRNA from 1 species
UCAUAGAACAUUUGUCCUCCUGCAGUGGUAGUGAUAGUGAUAAUUAAUAAUAAAGCAUGUUUUUAAUUUUAAAGAAGGUUUGUGUGUAUCUUAGAGGUUUGUAAGACUAUGAGAAUUUUUAUCUCAGGGCAAACAAAGUAAGUUGAAAAUUUAUAUUUAACAAAAAAAAAAAAAAAAAAAAAAAAAAAAAAAAAAAAAAAGCAAGUGGCCAGGGAGAUGGCUUAGAAGUUAAGGAGACUUUCUGGCCUUGUAGAGAACUCAAAUUUAGUUCCCAACUUUCAAGGGCAGGUGACUCACAACCAACUCUGACUCCAGCUCCAAGAGUUCUGACACUUCUGGCCUCUGUGGGGACACACACACAUAAAAUUUAAAAAAUAAUAAAAGUAGCUAGGUGUGGUGGCUCAUGCCUGUAGAGCCAGCACUUGGGAGGCAGAAGCAGGUGGUUCUUUGAGCUCAAGGCCAGCCUUGUCUACAGAGCAAGUUCCAAGACAGCCAGGGCCACACAGAAAGCCUGCCUCAAAACACCCACAAUCAUAAAUCUUGAAAUAAUAACAAGAAGGAAUUACAAAAAAAUGUGAGCAUGUGUCCCUUCAGUGUGCCUCUCCUGCAUUUGUCUUGGGAGAGCCCUUCUAUGCCUCAUUGAGGAAAUUAAACUCCUAACUAGUAGGUACUGAGCUUCAGAGUUUACUAAUGACUGGGAGCAUUGCUCUGGUGGUAAAAUUUGAAGGAAAUGGUGCUGGGGAGAGGUGGCUAUCAAGAUUAUCAGUCUGUAGACUGGCUCUCAGGAGAACGGAAUUUAAAUGAGAUAAGAAUUAGAAGAAAGAGUCUAGACUGAAGGUUGGAAGUGGAGAAGUUGCAAUCUCAGGUGAAAUUUGGUAGCAGAUGUCAUAUGUGACUGAAGAAGGUGCUUGUUUGUUUUUGGUUAAUGUUAUAGCAGUGAAUCUAAAGUCUCCUACAUACUAGAGAAGGAUCCUACCACUGAGAAGAAACAAAUUAAGGCUGAGUGGGAAGCACAUAAACUUGGUUAGAAUAUGUUACAAUUGAAAUGCCUACUAGAUAGAAGUACAGAUUUGUGGCCAACAGAGGAGGUUCUUCAUUGCUGGCAUAUAGGGAAUUUAAAACCAUGGGAAGGGAUGAAGUACAUCAAAGAAAAUGGGUUAAGAAAGGAGGUUGGCAGUAUUAUCCUGAAGAAGUAUUAGGAAAGGAGCUAAAUACAUGGGUACUGGAAAGUGUCAGCAAGGGAGACUACUGUAUGUCUGCAGAUGAACCUAACAGAGUAGCGUAGGACAUAGAUAAUUCAGCAGCCAUGUGAGAUUUUAGUAUUAUGGCCUUAUUGCUUCUGCUUGGCAAUGUCUGAUGAUCAAACUAGAUUUAAAACCUUAGAGUAGAAGGCUAGAGAGAGUACUCUUAAAAGAGUGCUUGCUGCUCUUGUGGAAGACUGGAAUUGGCUUCCAACAUCCACAUAUGGUGGUUCAAAACCACCUGUAACUCCAGCUCCAGGAGACCCAGUGCUCUGACUUUGAUGAAAUUCUGCACUCACAUGCACAGACAAGUAAUAACAAAUAAGUAAAUCUGUUUUGUUGUUUUGUUUUUGUGAGACAGGGUAUUUUGUAGCUCUUGAUGUCUUGGAACUCACUGAACUCACUGUGUAUGUAGACCAGGCCAGCCUUAAAUUCAAACCCAUCUGCCUCAGCCAAGUACUGAGAUUAAAGCUGUGUACAACCACUGCUAAGC